rnacentral:rRNA from 1 species
UGGGGGAUAUUGGGCAAUGGGCGCAAGCCUGACCCAGCAACGCCGCGUGAAGGAAGAAGGCUUUCGGGUUGUAAACUUCUUUUGACAGGGAAGAGUAGAAGACGGUACCUGUCGAAUAAGCCACGGCUAACUACGUGCC